UACGGAGGGUGCAAGCGUUAAUCGGAAUUACUGGGCGUAAAGCGCACGUAGGUGGUUUGUUAAGCUAGCUGUGAAAUCCCCGGGCUCAACCUGGGCACCUGCAGUUAGAACUGGCAAGCUAGAGUAGGGUAGAGGGGUGUGGAAUUCCAGGGUGUGACGCGGUUGAAAAUUGCGUAGAUAUCUGGGAGGAACAUCAGUGGCGAAGGCGACACCCUGGACUCAUACUGACACUGAGGUGCGAAAGCGUGGGGAGCAAACAGG
rnacentral:rRNA from 1 species